AGUGAACGCUGGCGGUAGGCCUAACACAUGCAAGUCGAACGGCAGCACAGUAAGAGCUUGCUCUUACGGGUGGCGAGUGGCGGACGGGUGAGGAAUACAUCGGAAUCUACUUUUUCGUGGGGGAUAACGUAGGGAAACUUACGCUAAUACCGCAUACGACCUACGGGUGAAAGCAGGGGAUCUUCGGACCUUGCGCGAUUGAAUGAGCCGAUGUCGGAUUAGCUAGUUGGCGGGGUAAAGGCCCACCAAGGCGACGAUCCGUAGCUGGUCUGAGAGGAUGAUCAGCCACACUGGAACUGGGACACGGUCCAGACUCCUACGGGAGGCAGCAGUGGGGAAUAUUGGACAAUGGGCGCAAGCCUGAUCCAGCCAUACCGCGUGGGUGAAGAAGGCCUUCGGGUUGUAAAGUCCUUUUGUUGGGAAAGAAAAGCAGCAGGUUAAUACCCCGCUGUUCUGACGGUACCCAAAGAAUAAGCACCGGCUAACUUCGUG
rnacentral:rRNA from 1 species